rnacentral:rRNA from 1 species
ACGUCUCAGUUCAGAUUGCAGGCUGCAACUCGCCUGCAUGAAGUCGGAAUUGCUAGUAAUCGCAGAUCAGCAUGCUGCGGUGAAUACGUUCCCGGGCCUUGUACACACCGCCCGUCACACCAUGGGAGUUGGAAGCACCCGAAGUCGAUGACCUAACCGCGAGGGAGGAGUCGCCGAACGGUGAAGCCAGUGACUGGGGUGAAGUCGUAACAAGGUAGC